rnacentral:rRNA from 1 species
UACGAAGGGUGCAAGCGUUACUCGGAAUUAUUGGGCGUAAAGAGCUCGUAGGUGGUUCGGUAAGUCGGAUGUGAAAUCUCCAGGCUCAACCUGGAGGGGUCAUUCGAUACUGCCGUGACUAGAGUUCGGUAGGGGAGUGUGGAAUUCCUGGUGGAGCGGUGAAAUGCGCAGAUAUCAGGAGGAACACCCGUAGCGAAGGCGGCACUCUGGGCCGAUACUGACACUGAGGAGCGAAAGCGUGGGGAGCGAACAGG